rnacentral:rRNA from 2 species
UUGGCGGGGGGGCCUAUAAAUGCAAGUCGAGCGAAUCGAUGGGAGCUUGCUCCCUGAGAUUAGCGGCGGACGGGUGAGUAACACGUGGGCAACCUGCCUAUAAGACUGGGAUAACUUCGGGAAACCGGAGCUAAUACCGGAUACGUUCUUUUCUCGCAUGAGAGAAGAUGGAAAGACGGUUUCUGCUGGCCCUUUUAAAUGGGCCCGCGGCGCAUUAACUAGUUGGGGGGGGAAUGGGUCCCCCAGGGGACCAAGCCUAACCCAACUGAAAGGGUGAUCGGGCCCCCUGGGACUGAAACACCGGCCAAAAUCCUACCGGAGGGAACAGUAAGGAAUCCUCCCCAAUGGACGAAAGUCUGGACGAACAACCCCCCGUGGACGAAGAAAGGCUUCCGGUCCUAAAGUUCUGGUGGUAAGGAAAAACCAGUACCAGAAUAACUGGUGGGACCUUGGCGGGACCUAACCCGAAAGCCACCGCUAACUACCUGGCCGCCGCCCCGGUAAUACCUAAGUGGGAAGCGUUGGCCGGAAUUAUUGGGCGUAAAGCGCGCGCAAGGGGUUCCCUAAGUCCGAAGGGAAAGCCCCCGGCUCCACCCUGGAAGGGCAUUGGAAACUGGGGAACUUGAAUGGAAAAAAAGAAAGUGGAAUUCCCAGUGGAACGGUGAAAUGCCUAAAAAUUUGGAAGAACCCCGUGGCCAAAGCCACUUUCUGGGCUGGAACUGACCUGAAGCGCCAAAGCCUGGGGAACAAACCAGAAUAAAUCCCUGGUAGUCACGCCGUAACCAUGAAUGCUAAGUGUUAAAGGUUUCCGCCCUUUAAUGGUGCAGCUAACGCAUUAAGCACUCCGCCUGGGGAGUACCGCCGCAAGGCUGAAACUCAAAGGAAUUGACGGGGGCCGCACCAGCGGGGAACCUGUGGUUAAUUCGAAGCACGCGAAAACCUUACCAGGCUUGACUCCUCUGACACCCUAGAGAUAGGCGUUCCCUUCGGGGACAAAUG